rnacentral:lncRNA from 1 species
CAGGACAGCAGAGGAAACAAACUGGAGAGGGUUUCCACAGAGAUGGUGGAGCCCACUCACAUUCAGAUACAGGUGCUUUCUCUUCCUGACCUCGUGCCUGGUCAGAGUGCAGUGGUGAACUUUGAGAUCCAAAACCAUGGUGCAGCACGGAACUUCAGUUUGACAGCCGAUGAUGACUGUGGAUAUCUUCAUAUGACAGGGCCACACAGCUUUCCUGUAGCAGAACAAAGGUCUUUUCGUGACCAGGUGUCCCUCCACACUCC